rnacentral:rRNA from 1 species
GGGGGUCGGGGUGAGGGUCGAUGAGCAUGCGAGUCGAGAGGGUGGGCACGGCGUACUGCUCAGGAGCUACCCUCCCCUAGGUAGGGGAAACCCCGGGAACUGCAUAAUACCCUAUAGAUUACAGAUGCUGGAAUGCCCUGUAAUCCAAAGUUCCGACGCCCUAGGAUGGAUCUGCGGCCGAUUAGGUUGUUGUUGGGGUAAUGGCCCAACAAGCCCGUAAUCGGGACGGGGUGUGGGAGCAAGAGCCCGGAGUUGGAUUCUGAGACACGAAUCCGGGCCCUACGGGCGCAGCGGGCGGAAAACUUUACAAUGCGGCAGCGGGAUAAGGGAACCUCCAGUGCCUUUAAUGCGGCUUUAGGCCCUAAACACCCUGAGAAAGGGCCGGCAAA